rnacentral:piRNA from 1 species
ACCUGCUUGGCGAAUAAGGUCACCCUAUGG